GGCUGAUUUUCACAUCUCAGAACUGUUAAGGCUGCAAAUACUACUGAAAUCACAUCUGGGAACAAAGCUGUGCUUUAAGUAAGUUCACCCAUGAGUGUUGCUAAGCAAUGGAAAAAAGACAAGGGAGAGGGAGAGUGCCUGACUUUAGGAUUACGAGGAUGGAUAGAACAUAAACUAAGGCUUCUGCAUAGCUUUAUUUAUAAAAGCUUUCAAGUUCUUUGUUUUUAUUGCCUGUCUUCCGAACUACUUGUACCAUGAUUAAUCAGGUCUCAUUCAUUAUCUAUCCCAAUGCACACCGUGCACAAAGAGAGGUGCUGCAUCCUGGAGCACUGGCACAAGGAUCUGAGCACCAGAACUGCCAACAUCUGUCUCUGGAUUUAGCAGGAAUGAGAGAAGAAGAAAUCUUCCCUAUCAGCAGCAGCAGGGAUUGCUGCAGCAAGAUGAUAAUUCCCUCCUGCUACUCUGCUGACAACCACCAAGCUGCACAGGAAGAGCAAAGCAUUUUAAUCAUGGAAUUGAAAAACACAGCAGUUCCUAAAGCUUCACCUUCCCUUGGCUGAUUUACAUUAAUUUAGGAUCAACUGGCUUUCAGUGGAAUAAUGCUAUCUAUGGAAGAUGACAGACGAAAAAUUCAAUGUAACUUCUAGUUCCCCUGUGAUUAACAGGCAAGGAUCUAUGUACAUAAACAGUUUAGGAGCAUCUUAGAUAAAAAAGGACUACUGAAUUCCUUAAGAGCACAGUGCAAACUUGAGGGCUCCCUUAUUCCAUACUCAAUGUUUUAGAAGUGCCAUAUUUUCAAAUACACACCAUUAGAGGGAUAAAAAAUACAUUGGGAAGUCAGGGUCCAAGCCAGUGUCCACUGGACCCACCAGAAAUCCUGUGACAGAGGCCUCAAGGUCUUGGCUCUGGUUCUUUCAUCAGAUUAUCGUUUAUAAAAAAGGCACUCCAUAAGGAGCUGCACAAAUGCAGAUCUUGCAUCUAAGACAGUCACACACACC
rnacentral:lncRNA from 12 species